AUUGAACGCUGGCGGCAGGCUUAACACAUGCAAGUCGAGCGGGGUGAUGGUGCUUGCACUAUCACUUAGCGGCGGACGGGUGAGUAAUGCUUAGGAAUCUACCUAUUAGUGGAGGACAACAUCUCGAAAGGGAUGCCAAUACCGCAUACGUCCUACGGGAGAAAGCAGGGGAUCACUUGUGACCUUGCGCUACUAGAUGAGCAUAAGUCGGAUUAGCUAGUUGGUGGGGUAAAGGCCUACCAAGGCGACGAUCUGUAGCGGGUCUGAGAGGAUGAUCCGCCACACUGGGACUGAGACACGGCCCAGACUCCUACGGGAGGCAGCAGUGGGGAAUAUUGGACAAUGGGGGGAACCCUGAUCCAGCCAUGCCGCGUGUGUGAAGAAGGCCUUAUGGUUGUAAAGCACUUUAAGCGAGGAGGGGGCUCUUUUGGUUAAUACCCAAGAUGAGUGGACGUUACUCGCAGAAUAAGCACCGGCUAACUCUGUGCCAGCCGCCGCGGUAA
rnacentral:rRNA from 1 species